GAUGAACGCUAGCGGGAGGCUUAACACAUGCAAGUCGAGGGGCAGCACGAGGUAGCAAUACUUUGGUGGCGACCGGCGCACGGGUGAGUAACGCGUAUGCAACCUACCCUGUACUGGGGGAUAACCCGGAGAAAUUCGGACUAAUACCCCAUAAUGAUAUAGAGAGGCAUCUUUUUAUAUUUAAAGCUUCGGCGGUACUGGAUGGGCAUGCGUAAGAUUAGCUAGUUGGUAGGUAACGGCCUACCAAGGCUCCGAUCUUUAGGGGUCCUGAGAGGGUGAUCCCCCACACUGGUACUGAGACACGGACCAGACUCCUACGGGAGGCUG
rnacentral:rRNA from 1 species